GAUGUUUUAACCCAAGUUUGGGUUGAAAAUAACUCUCUUUUUUAACCCAGCGGGGUGGGUUGAGGACGCGGACGUGAAGGAGAGCACGCACGUCACGUCAAAAUCGUACGUCUCCAGUGCGAGCAGCCGCCAUUUUCUCAGCGUGAUAGAAGCGAGAAGCGAGUGAAAGACUAUGACUUGUCCAGCUCCUGUCUUCAUUGUCCUCGCGCCGAGAGUUAAAGACACAGAAGCUGUUUGUGUGAGGAGUCACAGACCUGUGUGAGGAUGAGGAGGAGGUGUUCUUCUGAAGAGAGGGACAGACGGUUUAAGGAGAGUAAACUUCAGAAUAACAUCAAGCUAUCUUUAUUUUUACUAAGACUAAAAUAAUGUGUGUGUGUUUUUAGAUGUUGAAAUCCAGAGACAAGAUAACUUCAUUCUUUUGAGACUGAUAACUCAAACUAACUGGAGUUAAGGACACACAAGUCUGCUUGUGUAAGGAGGUGGUUUUCUCAGCUUCUUCUGAAGAGAGGGAAAGAUAGUUUAAGGCAAGUAAACUUCAUAAUUUCAUGUUAUCAGUUGUUGUUUUUUUACUAAGAGUAAAAUAAUGUUUGUUUUUUGUUUUUGUAGAUGUUAAAAGCAAGAGACAUGGGAGAGCAUCAUUCCUUUGAGAUUUUAUCUAAGUUAUUUUUAGAAAAUAAAUUUUUCUGUUAUCUCCUGCCAGUUUACUUCACAUUUUGAUGCAACAACAGUGUGAUUACGUGCUC